rnacentral:misc_RNA from 1 species
GAAAUGCGAUAAGUAAUGUGAAUUGCAGAAUUCCGUGAAUCAUCGAAUCUUUGAACGCAUAUUGCGCCCUCUGGCAUUCCGGGGGGCAUGCCUGUCCGAGCGUCAUUGCAAACCCUCAAGCACGGCUUGUGUGUUGGGUCACCACGUCCCCGAUAUUCAGGGGACGGGCCCGAAAGGCAGUGGCGGCGUCUCAGCGAUCAGCCCGAGCGUAUGGGGCUCUGUCACACGCUCGCGGUGGUUGGACCGACGUCACGUCCGGCUCUCGAGUUCUUCUCUCUCUCAGGUUGACCUCGGAUCAGGUAGGGAUACCCGCUGAACUUAAGC